rnacentral:rRNA from 1 species
UACGAAGGGGGCUAGCGUUGCUCGGAAUCACUGGGCGUAAAGGGUGCGUAGGCGGGUCUUUAAGUCAGGGGUGAAAUCCUGGAGCUCAACUCCAGAACUGCCUUUGAUACUGAGGAUCUUGAGUUCGGGAGAGGUGAGUGGAACUGCGAGUGUAGAGGUGAAAUUCGUAGAUAUUCGCAAGAACACCAGUGGCGGAGGCGGCUCACUGGCCCGGUACUGACGCUGAGGUGCGAAAGCGUGGGGAGCAAACAGG